rnacentral:rRNA from 1 species
GACUACAGCCAUGCCCCCCUGAACACGCCCAAUCCCAUCUGAUCUUGGAAGCUAAGCAGGGUCGGGCCUGAUUAGUAUUUGGAUGGGAGACCACCUACGGAAACCAGGUGCUGUAGGUA